rnacentral:rRNA from 1 species
GUGAGGAAUAUUGCGCAAUGGAGGCAACUCUGACGCAGCCAUGCCGCGUGCAGGAAGAAGGCGCUACGCGUGUAAACUGCUUUUAACCGGGAAGAAACCCCAGGACGUGUCCUGGGUUGACGGUACCGGAGGAAUAAGCACCGGCUAACUUCGUGCCAGCAGCCGCUGUAAUACGAAGGGUGCAAGCGUUAUCCGGAUUCAUUGGGUUUAAAGGGUGCGUAGGCGGAGCGUUAAGUCAGUGGUGAAAUCCUGCAGCUUAACUGUAGACUUGCCAUUGAUACUGGCGCGCUUGAGUGCGCUUGAAGUGGGCGGAAUGUGCCGUGUAGCGGUGAAAUGCUUAGAUAUGGCACAGAACACCAAUUGCGAAGGCAGCUCACUAAGGCGAUACUGACGCUGAGGCACGAAAGCGUGGGGAUCGAACAGGAUUAGAAACCCUGUAGUCC